ensembl:processed_transcript
AAUCUAAAGUGUAGGUGCAGCGAAUUUUAUGUUAAUAGGUGGUCAUUCAAGUUGAAAAUCAUGUACUGUAUGAUAUGUUUGUGUUAAAGGUUGUUUAUGCACAAUAACAUGAUUUGGUGGGAGUGUAAUGACCACCACCCUCCCUAUCCUUAAGUCACCACUAGAGGGCAACGCCUAUAAGUUGCCCAGUAAUUUGGGUUUAGCAGCUUCCCAUCCAGCACCUCAUAAUCUGCAUUGGCUGGUAUAACAGGUGUUUGUUGCCUCACGCUGAAAUAUAAAUAUGAGCAGCAUACUCCAGCAGCUAAAUGAAUGAGAACAAUUUAGCUCCCCCUUUAUGGCAAAGCGGAACGAGAUUUACGGUGUUCUUGUCAACACGGUAACAAGUGAAGCAUUGCAGUGUUUCAUACUGUUCAAAUAAAUCACCGUGCAAGCAUCAGUAAAACUCUCUGCCUCCUUCUUUGAUGCCAUGGGGCUGCUACAGGUGUA